CCAAAAGCGGGAUGUCUGGUCACCUUAGGUCUGUGGCCUACAAGAAUGUGGUUGGUGCCAGGCGAUCUUCCUGGAGGGUCAUUAGCAGCAUUGAACAGAAAACCAUGGCUGAUGGAAAUGAAAAGAAAUUGGAGAAAGUUAAAGCUUACCGGGAGAAGAUUGAGAAGGAGCUGGAGACAGUCUGCAAUGAUGUCCUGGCUCUGCUUGUCCAGUUCCUCAUCAAGAACUGCAGUGAAAUACGAGAGCAAGGCGUUUUACCCGAAAAUGAAAGGUGAUUACUACCACUACUUGUCAGAGGUAGCUUCUGGGGAGAAGAAAAAAAGUGUGGUGAAAGCUUCUGAAGCUGCCUACAAGGAAGCCUUUGAAAUCAGCAAAGAGCAAAUGCAGCCAACACAUCCCAUCCAACUGGGCCUGGCCCUCAACUUCUCUGUGUUCUACUAUGAGAUCCAGAAUGCACCUGAGCAAGCCUGCCUCUUAGCCAAACAAGCCUUCAAUGAUGCAAUAGCUGAGCUGGACACACUAAAGGAGGAUUCCUAUAAGGACUCCACACUCAUCAUGCAAUUACUAUGAGACAACCUCACCCUCUGGACAAGUGACCAGCAGGAUGAAGAAGCAGGAGAAGAUAACUGAAAAGCCUUUGGGUCCCUCACCCUUCCAUCACCCACCACCCCAUCAUCACCAAUUCUUCUUUGCCACAAUCACUAAAUAUCUAGAGCUAAACCUAUCUAUAUUGGCAGCACAGCUACUCAGAUCUGCUCUCCUGUCUCUUGGAAAGCAGUUUCAGAUAAAUCUUCAUGGGCAUUGCUGGUCUGAUGGUUGCUUUGAGCCCACAGGAGUUCCCUUUUUGAAUUGUGCAGUGAAGUGAAGGAGGUAUUUUACUAUGCCUGUUGAUUAGGGAAAUUAGAAAGGAGAAUUAGCCAACACAGACUACAGUUGAUAUUUAAAAGAUCCAUUUAAAACAAGCUGAUAGUGUUUUGUUAAGCGGUACAUCUUGUGCUUGCAAAAAUGAAUUCACCCCUCCCACCUCUUCAGCUAAUAGAAAACUGUUAAGCUGAUACAGAGAGACAACUUGCUCCUUUCCAUCAGCUUUAUAAUAAACUGUUACGGUGAGCUUUC